rnacentral:rRNA from 1 species
AACCCGAUGCAAACUGCGAAUACCGGAGAAUGUUAUCACGGGAGACACACGGCGGGUGCUAACGUCCGUCGUGAAGAGGGAAACAACCCAGACCGCCAGCUAAGGUCCCAAAGUCAUGGUUAAGUGGGAAACGAUGUGGGAAGGCCCAGACAGCCAGGAUGUUGGCUUAGAAGCAGCCAUCAUUUAAAGAAAGCGUAAUAGCUCACUGGUCGAGUCGGCCUGCGCGGAAGAUGUAACGGGGCUAAACCAUGCACCGAAGCUGCGGCAGCGACGCUUAUGCGUUGUUGGGUAGGGGAGCGUUCUGUAAGCCUGUGAAGGUGUGCUGUGAGGCAUGCUGGAGGUAUCAGAAGUGCGAAUGCUGACAUAAGUAACGAUAAAGCGGGUGAAAAGCCCGCUCGCCGGAAGACCAAGGGUUCCUGUCCAACGUUAAUCGGGGCAGGGUGAGUCGACCCCUAAGGCGAGGCCGAAAGGCGUAGUCGAUGGGAAACAGGUUAAUAUUCCUGUACUUGGUGUUACUGCGAAGGGGGGACGGAGAAGGCUAUGUUGGCCGGGCGACGGUUGUCCCGGUUUAAGCGUGUAGGCUGGUUUUCCAGGCAAAUCCGGAAAAUCAAGGCUGAGGCGUGAUGACGAGGCACUACGGUGCUGAAGCAACAAAUGCCCUGCUUCCAGGAAAAGCCUCUAAGCAUCAGGUAACAUCAAAUCGUACCCCAAACCGACACAGGUGGUCAGGUAGAGAAUACCAAGGCGCUUGAGAGAACUCGGGUGAAGGAACUAGGCAAAAUGGUGCCGUAACUUCGGGAGAAGG